GACGAACGCUGGCGGCGUGCUUAACACAUGCAAGUCGAACGGUCCUGUUUUUGAAGCGCUUCGGCGUGGAGGGGACGGGGCAGUGGCGCACGGGUGAGUAAUGCGCGAGGACCUGCCCGCGGGAGGGGGACAGCAGUUGGAAACGGCUGGUGAUACCCCGUAAGCCGGGAGGUAAAAGGGCGGAGACGCCCGCCUGCGGAUGGACUCGCGUCCUAUCAGCUAGUUGGUGAGGCAACGGCUCACCAAGGCGACGACGGGUAGCCGGCCUGAGAGGGUGUCCGGCCACACUGGAACUGAGACACGGUCCAGACUCCUACGGGAGGCAGCAGUGGGGAAUUUUGGGCAAUGGGGGAGACCCUGACCCAGCGACGCCGCGUGAGGGACGAAGGCCCUUGGGUCGUAAACCUCUUUUGCCAGGGGAAGAAGAAGAUGACGGUACCUUGCGAACAAGUCCCGGCUAACUACGUG
rnacentral:rRNA from 1 species